UGGUGCGUUGUUGUUUAAUUUUAUCUUCUAUAUUCACUUGUCAAUUCAAGCCAUCAGUUGGAUUCUAUUUUCUGUCUGAUCAAGGCAUUUUACCUUCUGCUCUGUUUGAUGUUUUUGAACGCAUGGAACAUGGAAUACGUGAGACGGUGUAUGUGACAUAAUUACGAAAGUUUUAUUUCCCCAGAUAUGGAAGAAUCAUACGAGGAAGCGAUUGGUGAGAUUUCAACUUUCGAAGAUAAAGUUGAUCAGUCAGCGAAUCAUUUAGAAGAAGAGCAACAACAGCAUAGAAAUGAUCUGUUGGGACUUGACGAAAUGGAAAAAGCUUUAGAAGAGAUUGAUACAAGAGUACAAAAACUGGAAGAAGCAAAUGGUAAGAUAUGCAAAAGUGGUCAAAAGGAAGACGGGAAA